UCAUUACUGAGUUUACGCUCUAUAACCCUUUGUGAACAUACCUAUAACUGUUGCUUCGGCGGGUAGGGUCUCCGUGACCCUCCCGGCCUCCCGCCCCCGGGCGGGUCGGCGCCCGCCGGAGGAUAACCAAACUCUGAUUUAACGACGUUUCUUCUGAGUGGUACAAGCAAAUAAUCAAAACUUUUAACAACGGAUCUCUUGGUUCUGGCAUCGAUGAAGAACGCAGCGAAAUGCGAUAAGUAAUGUGAAUUGCAGAAUUCAGUGAAUCAUCGAAUCUUUGAACGCACAUUGCGCCCGCCAGCAUUCUGGCGGGCAUGCCUGUUCGAGCGUCAUUUCAACCCUCAAGCUCUGCUUGGUGUUGGGGCCCUACAGCUGAUGUAGGCCCUCAAAGGUAGUGGCGGACCCUCCCGGAGCCUCCUUUGCGUAGUAACUUUACGUCUCGCACUGGGAUCCGGAGGGACUCUUGCCGUAAAACCCCCAAUUUUCCAAAGGUUGACCUCGGAUCAGGUAGGAAUACCCGCUGAACUUAAGCAUAU
rnacentral:rRNA from 1 species